rnacentral:lncRNA from 1 species
AAAACGCGGAUGACACCGUCAACCCAGAGAAACACUGACGGGCACCGAGUAAGUCUCAGUACAGCUCUCCAGUGACGCAACCGAAGGAAACAAGCAAAACCUGCCUCUGGGAUUCGCUCUUCACCAAUAAUUACUCCAGCUUUACAGAGUGACAGGCCACGUCGCGAGUGCUUGUAUCCAAACCUGGUGGUGGCUGAACAAGAAGAGACCCUUGACCAGGAUGAGUGUACAUUCUGCUGGUGGAGCACCCCACACAGCAACUGGUGAGAUGAUGCAAGAUGGGGAAGGUGCCUGGAGGUUGAGAAGGUGAUGCAGCUGGGGGUCAUGUGUGGGGUCAGGUGUGAGGGUCAGGUAUGAGGGGCGGGUGUCGGAGAGCUUGUGUGGGGGGUGUGAGGCGGCGUGAGGGGUGGGUGUGAGGGGCAGGUGUGAGGGGUGGGUGAGGGGCGGAUGUUAGGGGCGGGUGUGAGGGUCAGGUGUGAGGGGUGGGUGAGGGGUGGGUGAGGGGCGGGUGAGGG